rnacentral:rRNA from 1 species
UUUUUUCCUGUAGCAAUACAGGGAAAAGUCUAGCGGCGAACGGGUGUUUAACACGUGGGCAAUCUGCCGAGAAGUGGGGGAUAGCUCGCCGAAAGGCGAAUUAAUACCGCAUGUGAUCAGAGUGGACAUCCAUUCAAAAUCAAAGUCGGGGCAACCUGACGCUUCUUGAGGAGCCCGCGGCCUAUCAGCUAGUUGGUGAGGUAACGGCCCACCAAGGCUUAGACGGGUAGCUGGUCUGAGAGGACGACCAGCCACACUGGGACUGAGACACGGCCCAGACACCUACGGGUGGCAGCAGUCGAGAAUUUUUCUCAAUGGGGGAAACCCUGAAGGAGCGACGCCGCGUGGAGGAUGAAGGUCUUCGGAUUGUAAACUCCUGUCAUUGGGGAACAAUGCGUAAAUAUUAACUGUAUUUGCGUUGAUAGUACCCGAAGAGGAAGGGACGGCUAACUCUGUGCCAGCAGCCGCGGUAAUACAGAGGUCCCAAGCGUUGUUCGGAUUCAUUGGGCGUAAAGGGUGCGUAGGCGGCGCGGUAAGUCGGGUGUGAAAUCUCGGAGCUUAACUCCGAAACUGCAUUCGAUACUGCCGUGCUUGAGGACUGGAGAGGAGACUGGAAUUUACGGUGUAGCGGUGAAAUGCGUAGAUAUCGUAAGGAAGACCAGUGGCGAAGGCGGGUCUCUGGACAGUUCCUGACGCUGAGGCACGAAGGCCAGGGGAGCAAACGGGAUUAGAUACCCCGGUAGUCCUGGCAGUAAACGGUGCACGUUUGGUGUGGGAGGAUUCGACCCCUUCUGCGCCGGAGCUAACGCG